CGAGUCGGGAACCCCCGCACCCUUCGCGCCCGCGCCCCCGCCGGCCCCCGGGAAGAGGACUCACCUCGGGACAAGGUGACCCGCUCCCAGGCGGCCCGGCGUCUCCAGGCAGGCGCGCGUGCGGGGCGGUGCGGGGCGCGGCGCGGCGACCGCCUCCUCUGGCUCUCGAUGCUCGGUCCUGCUCUCGUCCCUCUGCUCACCCCCUCCGCGUCCCUUUCCCGCCCCUCCUUUCCUCCUCCUCCCACUCCCCCGCGCGCCCCGCCCGGCGCCCGGGAGCCUAGGAGCCCAGGAGCCCCGCAGCCCCGCGGGCGGGGUCGCGUGCUCUGCGCCCCAGGAGGGGACCGGGCGGGGGCGACAGGGCGCGGGGGCCGGGGAGCAGCUCCGCGCUGAGGCUGGCACGCGCGCGGGAGGAGAGGAAGGGUUGGGGUGCGGGAGAGAAAGGGAGGGAGGGAAGAGGGGACAGGAGAGGAGGCGGCGGCCAACUUCGCAGGCCACGCGGGGAUCGCGUCUGGAACCAGGCGACUAGACUGAGCAGAGAGGAAUUCUUAGCGACCCGGGAAGCAAGGGUUCCCCUCGGUCCUAAAGGCCUCUCUCCAGGCUCGGUCCGGCUGGGGCGCUGAGGCACCUACCCGUAGGUCUGGCGAAUGUCCACGUUCCUGCCGCCGUGCCCGGAGCCAGGCAACUGCAGGGGCAGACCAGUCUGUGGUGUGAACAGCAGAGAAGCAGACUCUGAAGACACACCCAGGAAGAAGUCAGCAGGAGACUGCAUCCAUGGUGAAAAACCGAGGCUUGAGGAGGCUUCUGGGGGUCCCACUGCAGCCGGUCAGCAGUCGACUUCCCUUCUCUUGUCGGGCCCCCUCUGCUCUCUGUUCCCUCUUGGGGCAGACUGUUUGCUGGCAGUAUCUGGGAUGUUAACACCUUUACCUCUAGGGUGUUUUGUGACUGACUAAAAUUGGGCUUCUCUUGAUCUAGCAGGCAGGCACCUGUGGAGCCCAGCACAGGUCCACAGGGGCCCCUGGAAGCCAGGGUAACAGCUCCAAUGUCAGCUCUUGUGAAUGUUCCCUGUGCCAAGUGCCUGGGAUGUCCUCUGGUGGGGACUUUGAGUCUCUCCCCCAGGGGUUCUGGGACCUGUGUGGAGCUGGGGAGAGAGAGAGAGAGAGAGAGAGAGAGAGAGAGAGAGAGAGAGAGAGACAGAGAGAGAGACAGAGACAGAGACAGAGACAGAGACAGAGACAGAGAGUCAGAGACAGAGAGAUUUAAG
rnacentral:lncRNA from 1 species